AGCUUUGAUAGAAAGGUGAAACAUGGUGACCUGAAAACAAAAACUGUGCAUCAAACUACAAAACCAACAUUUCAGGGACACAUAAAGUCAAACCAUAUGUUAGUCUAAAACUUACUAUGGGGCCCCUCAUUUGAACUAGGAUCGUGAAUGCACAGAGGUGGAAGCUGUGAGGUUAAGACUCUCAACUCUAAGAAAAGAAUGGAAGGACCUAAGAAUUUAAAAUAAAUCUCCCCAAGAUUCCUGUAGGGAUCUAUUAUCAGACUCUACCAAAGUAGAACUAUGGAUACUGUAUGAAUACUGUUCAUUAGUAGUUAUCUGGUCAAAAUUCCCCAUUAAAACUUCAUCCCUAAAAAAGGAAUAGUUCUAAAAGUUGAGUGCAAAAAUGUUUUUUAAAGGUUUAAAUAGGGCAAUGUUUUAGAAGGCUACCUGGAGAAACAGCUUGGGAAAAAAAAUAAAUGUAUUUUUAAAAAGGAAGCAGUAUAACAAAAUCUCCAUAACUUAGGAAACAUUGGGAAACAAACACAAACCUUUUUUCAAGUUUUUGCUUAAUUUUUAUUGGACCAAAUUAUUAAUUAAUGUUAUGAGUAAUGAAAAAACAUCAUUCUGAUUAGCACUGAUUAGC